rnacentral:rRNA from 1 species
ACUAACUCUAGCCCUAUAAAAAACUAACAUAAUUAUUUAAUUAAUUAAAACAAACCAUUUAAAUCAAGAAGUAUUGGUGAAAGAAACUAGUAAUAAGGAGCUAUAGAGAUAGUACCGCAAGGGAAAGAUGAAAGAAAUGUUUAAAGUACAAAAAAGCAAAGAUUAAAUCUUGUACCUUUUGCAUAAUGAACUAACUAGAAAACCCCUAACUAAAAGAAUUUAAGCUAGGAACCCCGAAACCAAACGAGCUACCUAAGAGCAAUUUUAAGAAUGAACCCGUCUAUGUAGCAAAAUAGUGGGAAGACUUCUAGGUAGAGGUGAAAAGCCUAACGAGCUUGGUGAUAGCUGGUUACCCAAAAAAAGAACUUCAGUUCUACUUUAAGAUUACCUCAAGAAAAAUUAAUCCAAAUGUAAUCUUAAAUUAUAACCUAAAGAGGGACAGCUCUCUAGGAGAAGGAUAAAACCUUAAAUAGUGAAUAAGACAUGCAAAAUGUAUUAAACCAUAGUUGGCUUAAAAGCAGCCAUCAAUAAAGAAAGCGUUCAAGCUCAACACCUAACAGCAUCUAAUUCCACAAAUUAUAACAACUUCCUAUACUAAAAAUUGGGUUAAUCUAUUGUCAUAUAGAUGAAAUAAUGUUAGCAUGAGUAACAAGAAUUUAUUCUCCACGCACAAGCCUAUAACAACCCGGAUAACCAUUGUUAGUUAACAUACACACAAGUAAAUCAACCCCCUACAAAAAUCACUUCACAUACAAUGUUAACCCAACACAGGAGUGCAUAAAGGAAAGAUUAAAAGAAAUAAAAGGAACUAGGCAAACAAGAAUCCCGCCUGUUUACCAAAAACAUCACCUCUAGCAUUACAAGUAUUAGAGGCAAUGCCUGCCCAGUGACAUAGUUAAACGGCCGCGGUAUCCUGACCGUGCAAAGGUAGCAUAAUCACUUGUUCCUUAAUUAGGGACUAGAAUGAACGGCUUAACGAGGAUUCAACUGUCUCUUAUUUCUAAUCAGUGAAAUUGACCUUCCCGUGAAGAGGCGGGAAUACAACAAUAAGACGAGAAGACCCUAUGGAGCUUCAAUCUCAUAGCUUAAUUCAAUAAAAUAUACACACCUACUGGUAAUAAAAUACAAAACAUUUAAGCUUAGAUUUCGGUUGGGGUGACCUCGGAGAACAAAAGAUCCUCCGAACGAUUUUUAGCUAAGACAUACAAGUCAAAGCACUUAUUAUCUAAUUGACCCAAAUAUUAUUUGAUCAACGGACCAAGUUACCCUAGGGAUAACAGCGCAAUCCUAUUCAAGAGUCCCUAUCGACAAUUAGGGUUUACGACCUCGAUGUUGGAUCAGGACAUCCCAAUGGUGUAGAAGCUAUUAAAGGUUCGUUUGUUCAACGAUUAAAGUCCUACGUGAUCUGAGUUCAGACCGGAGUAAUCCAGGUCGGUUUCUAUCUAUUAACGAUUUCUCCCAGUACGAAAGGACAAGAGAAAUAGAGCCUCCUUAACAAAAGCGCCCUAAAUUAAUUAAUGAAACCAUCUCAAUAUAGUAAAUACGUACAACCUACCCCUAGAACAGGGGCU